UGUGGUCACGCUGAUUGAGGACUCUAGAAU
rnacentral:piRNA from 1 species